GCUGGGCAUGGUGGUGUGUGCCUAUAAUCCCAGCUACUGGGGAGGCUGAGGCAGGAGGAUCGCUCGAGUGCAGGAAGUCUGGGCCCCUCAGGUGUCCACACUAAGUUCGGCAUCUAUAUGGUGAUCUCCUGGGAGCGGGGGACCACCAGGUUGCCUAAAGAAGGGUGAACUGGCCCAGGUGGGAGACAGAGCAGGUCAGAGCUCUUGUGUUGAUCAGUAGCAGGAUUACGCCUGCAAAUAGCCACCGCACUCCAGCCUGGGCAACACAGUGAGAUCACAUCUCUU
ensembl:misc_RNA Metazoa_SRP Metazoan signal recognition particle RNA